AUGGAAGGAGCCAUCUCCAGCGUGCCAAACACGAGGAUUGCCGUCGUCACCGGCGGGAACAAGGGGAUCGGCUUCGAGGUGUGCUGGCAACUAGCCAGCGGUGGAAUCACGGUCGUUCUGACGGCCCGGGACGAGACGAGGGGCGCGGAGGCAGUCGAGAAGCUCAUAGCGCUCGGGGUCACCAACGUCGUCUUCCAUCAGCUGGAUGUCACGGACACUUCCAGCAUUGCUACACUGGUCGAUUUCCUGAAGACACGCUUUGGCAAACUAGAUAUUCUGAUGUACCCUGUUAAUUUGCAGGUGAACAAUGCCGCAAUCGGUGGGGUUGAGUACCUCCAAGAACUCGACACCAGCGAGGAGACGUUCGCUGGCAUGGAUUUCGACCAGAUGCUUGAAUGGAUGGUGAAGAACGUCCGUGAGCGCAUCGACAGUGCAAAGAAAGGCGUGCAGACGAACUACUACGGCACAAAGCAUGUAACAGAGGCCGUGUUGCCUCUGCUGCAAUCUUCCUCCGAGGGAAGAAUUGUGAACGUCUCCUCCAUAUUUGGGCUGCUAAGGCUUAUCAGCAACGAGAAGGUGAGGCGGGAGCUCAGUGACAUCGACAACAUGACAGAGGAGAGGCUGGACGAGCUGCUGAACAGGUUCCUCAGGGACUUCGAGGCCGACGCGCUGGAGGCGUGCGGGUGGCCCAUGGGGUGCUCGGCGUACAAGGUGGCCAAGGCCGCCAUGAACGCGUACUCGAGGAUGUUGGCGAGGAGGCACCCCGCGCUGCGCGUCAAUUGCGCGCACCCAGGCUACUCAAGACGGACAUAA
rnacentral:rRNA from 1 species